AGUCGAACGCGCUUCGCAAGAAGCGAGUGGCGGACGGGUGAGUAACACGUGGGAACCUACCUUGAGGUGAGGGAUACCGGCGAGAAAUCGCCGACAAGCCCGCAUACGCUUCCUCUGGAAGCAAAGCUCUUUCGGGAGCGCCGCAGGAUGGGCCCGCGGCCGAUUAGCUAGUUGGUGGGGUAAGAGCUCACCAAGGCGUCGAUCGGUAGCUGGUCUGAGAGGACGAUCAGCCACACUGGGAUUGAGAACGGCCCAGACUCCUACGGGGGGCAGCAGUGAGGAAUUUUCCGCAAUGGAGGCAACUCUGACGGAGCAACGCCGCGUGCAGGAAGACGGCCUUCGGGUUGUAAACUGCUUUUCUGUGGGAAGAGUUCGGACGGUACCACAGGAACAAGCCCCGGCUAACUACGUGCCAGCAGCCGCGGUAAUACGUAGGGGGCAAGCGUUGUCCGGAGUUACUGGGCGUAAAGGGCACGCAGGCGGUUGUGUCAGUUUGCGGGGACAGUGGGCGGCUUAACUGCCCAAGGGUCGCAAAGACGGCACGACUCAGAGAGCGAGAGAGGGACCUGGAACUCCGGGUGGAGCGGUGAAAUGCGUAGAGAUCCGGAAGAACACCACUGGCGCAGGCAAGGUCCUGGCUCGUAUCUGACGCUGAGGUGCGAAAGCUAGGGGAGCGAACGGGAUUAGAUACCCCGGUAGUCCUAGCCGUAAACGAUGACCACUAGAUGUGGGAGGUAUCGACCCCUUCCGUGUCGCAGUUAACACGUUAAGUGGUCCGCCUGGGGAGUACGGUCGCAAGAUUAAAACUCAAAGGAAUUGACGGGGACCCGCACAAGCAGCGGAGCGUGUGGUUUAAUUCGAUGCGACGCGAAGAACCUUACCAGGGUUUGACAUGCCUGUGCACCACCCAGAGAUGGGUGUGCCCGCAAGGGACGCAGGCACAGGUGCUGCAUGGCUGUCGUCAGCUCGUGCCGUGAGGUGUUGGGUUAAGUCCCGCAACGAGCGCAACCCCUGUCGUCGGUUGUAGAUGUCCGACGAGACUGCCCCGAUCAACGAGGAGGAAGGUGGGGAUGACGUCAAGUCAGCACGGCCCUUACGUCCUGGGCGACACACACGCUACAAUGGCCGGAACAAAGGGGAGCCAACCCGCGAGGGGGAGCCAAUCCCGUCAAAGCCGGUCUCAGUUCGGAUUGUAGGCUGCAACCCGCCUGCAUGAAGCUGGAGUUGCUAGUAACCGUGGGUCAGCACACCAAAGGUGAAUACGUUCCCGGGUCUUGUACACACCGCCCGUCACACCACGAAAGUCGGCAAUCACCUGAAGCCGCUGGGCUAACCCGU
rnacentral:rRNA from 1 species